AGGGAACACAAACAGGGGAGUGGGAGAGGGAGAAGCAAGCCUCCGGCUGAGCCCCGACUCCCCCCCAACCCCCGCCAUGUGGUGCUUGAUCCCAGAACCCUGGGAUCAUGACCUGGGCCAAAGGCAGAUGCUUAACUACUGAGCCACCCAGGUGCCCUGAAUAAACCAGAGGAACCACACUGGCCGUUGUGGGAUGCGUGUACCUGUGAACUCCCUAUUCUUUUGUCUGGGAGCAGAGAUGGGACAAACCAACCACCCUGGGUCCCCAGAAGACCCAUUCUAUGAGUCUAGAGGCAGCUCAUAUGAUCCUUCGUCAGUGGCCCACCAUCUACCGAAGAAUCUGGCUCCACUUGCUGACGAAGGAGGUGAUGUGGAAGAUGUAAGUGGAGGCUGACAUGCAUACCCAGCACAGAAGCAGGAGUGGACCGGGCCAGCUAGGCUGCCUGGAGGAGUCAAGAUUUCCUCUUUACCAGGUGGUUGGAGUAAAAGUUCGUCUGUGGCCCCUGAAAACACAAACACGAAGAUCGAGCCUUCAAAACUAUUUUUAGCAGAUGGUAAGUGCACCUGAUUACCCAUUACAAUCCACUCCCUGUGUUUGGGCUGCCAGACCAUUUGUUUCAUUAGUCUUGAAGGCAGGAUGGCUUCAUGAUUCAUCAGGUCUGUUUCCUAUUUUUCAUUUAUUUAUUUGUGAGAGAAAAACAGAGAGAGGACACAAGUAGGGGGAGAGGCAGAGGGAAAGAAUCUCAAGCAGAUGCCCUGCUGAGUGGGGAGCCUGACUUGGGGCUCGAUCUCACAACCCUGAGAUCAUGACCUGAGCCGAAACCAAGAGUUAGAUGCUGAACCGAUUGAGCCACCCAGGCGCCCCAGGUGUGCCUCCAAUUUCUAAGAACACAUUUUACGGACAAGCAUUAGAUCAGCAUCAAUGUCCUACUCAGCGUUUUCAUAAAUUGAAUGCAGAAAACACUUGGAGCCAAGAUGUGCCAAGAUAUCUGGGGCUGUAUCAAGAAAUCAAGGUCAUUACCAUUGUAAUCCAAGUCAACAGCAAUGGCCUCAGAUCUCUGCUCUUAAGAUGUAGUCUUGGCAGUUACGGGGUGCCCUUACCUGAGGCAUAGGAUGGAAACUUGCUUGUAAGCAAAAUAGAGUUCCGUGUUCCUCCAGUAUAAACUCCCCCUACUUUCCUCCAGGCCUUGUAGAUCUCUCCUGGCAUCAGACACGGAGAUGUGAUAGCAGGGUUAUAAGUGCUUUGUGUGGAUUAUCAUCACCGAGGACUCUAGUCAGAACUAAGAGUCCGAUAUCAAGGUAGAAGGUGCACACUGGGAUGGCACUGGGUUAAAUACCCACAGGACAAAAGGGACUCUGGAAAAGAUGUGACGGAGGGCUGCUGGGAGGCCGCAGAAGAGGAAGGCAGCGCUGGUGCCAGACGGCCCUCCUUCUCGACCUCACCUUUGUCUUUAUUCAACCCUCCUAUCCCACUCAUGCCUGCUGCUUGCCCUCUCAUCCUCUCCUGGGGAAAGAACAUCGGACCAGGCGGGUUCUGGAGUGUUCCUGCAUUCACACAUACCUGCGGCCUGGUAUGUACAUCUGUCUCAGCAAAUGGCUCCCACCUGACACCGGGGUCCACGGGGUCAGGGGGCUGGGAAGGGUUCUGCCUUGCAGUCAGAGCACUCUUAGGUGAUGAGAACAGCUGUGUCCUCUCUGCCUGCUUUACAAAGCCUGAGGCUUCAACGGGAUAUUGAGCUCAGGGAUGAUGGUAAAACAUAGCUCUGUGAUGUUGGUGUAGAGGGAGACACUGCCUGGUCCGGACGCCGGAUCACCUUAGUAAGCCAGUGCUCAAACUCGGAAAGUUGCAGCUGGUAGGUCCUAAGGGCCUCCCUAAGUGUAUGUCUAACCAGAUGGGGACAGCAGGGCCUUGUUCUGGGUUUUUAUAAUCUGCGGUCACCAACAUUUUCAAUUCCUUUGAAUUUCACAGGGUAUCAGAAGAUGUGUGGCUGGGGCACCUGUGUGGCUCAGUGGGUUAAUGCCUCUGCUUUCGGCUCAGGUCAUGAUCCCAGGGUCCUGGGAUCGAGCCCCACAUCAGGCUCUCUGCUCAGCGGGGAGCCUGCUUCCUCCUCUCUCUCUGCCUGCCUCUC